UAGGGAAUCUUCGGCAAUGGGGGGAACCCUGACCGAGCAACGCCGCGUGAGUGAAGAAGGUUUUCGGAUCGUAAAGCUCUGUUGUUAAGGAAGAACGAGUGUGAGAAUGGAAAGUUCAUACUGUGACGGUACUUAACCAGAAAGGGACGGCUAACUACGUGCCAGCAGCCGCGGUAAUACGUAGGUCCCGAGCGUUGUCCGGAUUUAUUGGGCGUAAAGCGAGCGCAGGCGGUUAGAUAAGUCUGAAGUUAAAGGCAGUGGCUCAACCAUUGUAGGCUUUGGAAACUGUUUAACUUGAGUGCAGAAGGGGAGAGUGGAGUUCCAUGUGUAGCGGUGAAAUGCGUAGAUAUAUGGAGGAACACCGGUGGCGAAAGCGGCUCUCUGGUCUGUAACUGACGCUGAGGCUCGAAAGCGUGGGGAGCGAACAGG
rnacentral:rRNA from 1 species